rnacentral:rRNA from 1 species
GCUCAGUAACACGUGGAGAACGUGCCCUUAAGUGGGGGAUAAUCUCGGGAAAUUGAGGAUAAUACCCCAUAGAUCAUGGGAUCUGGAAUGACCCAUGGUUCAAAGUUCCGGCGCUUAAGGAUCGCUCUGCGGCCUAUCAGGUAGUAGUGGGUGUAAAGUACCCCCUAGCCUACGACGGGUAUGGGCCUUGAGAGAGGGAGCCCAGAGUUGGAUUCUGAGACACGAAUCCAGGCCCUACGGGGCGCAGCAGUCGCGAAAACUUCACACUGGGGGCAACCCCGAUGAGGGAAAUCCUAGUGCUAGGACAUUUGUUCUAGCUUUUCUCAAGCGUAGAUAACUUGAGGAAUAAGGGCUGGGUAAGACGGGUGCCAGCCGCCGCGGUAAUACCUGCAGCCCAAGUGGUGGUCGAUUUUAUUGAGUCUAAAACGUUCGUAGCCGGCCCGGUAAAUCCCUGGGUAAAUCGGGAAGCUCAACUUCCCGAAUUCCGGGGAGACUGCCGGGCUUGGGACCGGGAGAGGCUAGAGGUACUUCUGGGGUAGGGGUAAAAUCCUGUAAUCCUGGAAGGACCACCGGUGGCGAAGGCGUCUAGCUAGAACGGAUCCGACGGUGAGGGACGAAGCCCUGGGUCGCAAACGGGAUUAGAUACCCCGGUAGUCCAGGGUGUAAACGCUGCAGACUUGGUGUUGGGGGCCCUUCGGGGGCGUCCAGUGCCGGAGAGAAGUUGUUAAGUCUGCUACUUGGGGAGUACGUCCGCAAGGAUGAAACUUAAAGGAAUUGGCGGGGGAGCAC